CCCACCGUACCUGUCUAAGAAUGUUAAUUUAGUUUAAUCAUCCAUAUUCCACAGUAUCAGUACAGACAUGUCGCUAAUUUUAAUUAACCAGUUCUAGCUGGUUACCCAGUUACUGAGAAACUUUCCUAAUUUUUAAAAAAAUUAACAGUGAUUCAAAAUUAAAUGAAGACAUUUUAACAAUAUGAAAAAAUUAAUCAGAUUUUCACCUAAAUUUGUUAACAGUCUACACUGCUGUCAGAGUACAUAUUGCAAAAACAUCGAUCACCUAAAGACUGACAUAAUGCAAGUGUAUUUAUGGUUUGUCCGGCAUCUGCAGAUUUUCUCUUGUUUAUGGUUUGUGGUCUAUUUUUGUUGGUUUAUAUUUCACAUCACCACUGGAAACUUUAAAAAAUGUCUUGUGUAUUUAAAGUAACAAGUUAAUAAUUUUAAACAAGAAACUUCAGGCUACCUGUUAAUAUUAAAUCCUUAGCUGAGCUAACUUUAGCUGUGAAAAUCUGGGGCCAGGUCAUAUUGAUAGCCAUUAGAUAUCAAUGUUUCUCUUUUCGCUACUGCCGUUAGAUAGGAAGGUACGGGAGCCUUAAGUCCCACACCAACUGGUUCUGGACGGGUGACUGCCGGGAUCAACAGUCAGUGCUGCUGUUUUAGAGCUCCAGACACCCUCACUGGAUCCUGCCCUCUGUAGCAAAUGACGAGUUUACCUAUUCUCCCUCUGGGUGCGUGGAUUUCUCCCGGAGCUCCGGUUUCGCCCUUCCCCGGACCCAGUCUCUCCCGUCCCAAAGACGCGGAGGUUGGAGGAUUGAUUACUGCGAGGUGUUCUAGGGCUUUUGUUUGGCGGGAGAUGAAGAGAGAAGAUACCUGAAAGGAGUGGACUUGGAGUGGGGCCGGGAGUCGACUAAACCUGGGGGAAAUCGAUGGAGGACCACCAGCAGGGAAACUGUGAGCUCCAAUGUGCGCAUUACACUGUUUCAUGAAAAUGGGCCCUUUUCUUUCUGUUUUUCUUUACUAACCCUCAAGUCAAAUUAAGAAUUAUAAAGCUAAAUCGUUUAAUUGCAUAUGGUGUACUGCUUGUUAUUUUGUGGUACUGA